rnacentral:rRNA from 1 species
AUUGAACGCUGGCGGCAGGCUUAACACAUGCAAGUCGAACGAUGAUUAUCUAGCUUGCUAGAUAUGAUUAGUGGCGGACGGGUGAGUAACAUUUAGGAAUCUGCCUAGUAGUGGGGGAUAGCUCGGGGAAACUCGAAUUAAUACCGCAUACGACCUACGGGUGAAAGGGGGCGCAAGCUCUUGCUAUUAGAUGAGCCUAAAUCAGAUUAGCUAGUUGGUGGGGUAAAGGCCCACCAAGGCGACGAUCUGUAACUGGUCUGAGAGGAUGAUCAGUCACACCGGAACUGAGACACGGUCCGGACUCCUACGGGAGGCAGCAGUGGGGAAUAUUGGACAAUGGGGGCAACCCUGAUCCAGCCAUGCCGCGUGUGUGAAGAAGGCCUUUUGGUUGUAAAGCACUUUAAGCAGGGAGGAGAGGCUAAUGGUUAAUACCCAUUAAAUUAGACGUUACCUGCAGAAUAAGCACCGGCUAACUCUGUGCCAGCAGCCGCGGUAAUACAGAGGGUGCGAGCGUUAAUCGGAAUUACUGGGCGUAAAGCGAGUGUAGGUGGCUCAUUAAGUCACAUGUGAAAUCCCCGGGCUUAACCUGGGAACUGCAUGUGAUACUGGUGGUGCUAGAAUAUGUGAGAGGGAAGUAGAAUUCCAGGUGUAGCGGUGAAAUGCGUAGAGAUCUGGAGGAAUACCGAUGGCGAAGGCAGCUUCCUGGCAUAAUAUUGACACUGAGAUUCGAAAGCGUGGGUAGCAAACAGGAUUAGAUACCCUGGUAGUCCACGCCGUAAACGAUGUCUACUAGCCGUUGGGGUCCUUGAGACUUUAGUGGCGCAGUUAACGCGAUAAGUAGACCGCCUGGGGAGUACGGCCGCAAGGUUAAAACUCAAAUGAAUUGACGGGGGCCCGCACAAGCGGUGGAGCAUGUGGUUUAAUUCGAUGCAACGCGAAGAACCUUACCUGGUCUUGACAUAGUGAGAAUCCUGCAGAGAUGCGGGAGUGCCUUCGGGAAUUCACAUACAGGUGCUGCAUGGCUGUCGUCAGCUCGUGUCGUGAGAUGUUGGGUUAAGUCCCGCAACGAGCGCAACCCUUUUCCUUAUUUGCCAGCGGGUUAAGCCGGGAACUUUAAGGAUACUGCCAGUGACAAACUGGAGGAAGGCGGGGACGACGUCAAGUCAUCAUGGCCCUUACGACCAGGGCUACACACGUGCUACAAUGGUAGGUACAGAGGGUUGCUACACAGCGAUGUGAUGCUAAUCUCAAAAAGCCUAUCGUAGUCCGGAUUGGAGUCUGCAACUCGACUCCAUGAAGUCGGAAUCGCUAGUAAUCGCAGAUCAGAAUGCUGCGGUGAAUACGUUCCCGGGCCU